GAUGAACGCUGGCGGCGUGCUUAACACAUGCAAGUCGAACGGUGAAGCAGGAGCUUGCUCUUGUGGAUCAGUGGCGAACGGGUGAGUAACACGUGAGCAACCUGCCCCUGACUCUGGGAUAAGCGCUGGAAACGGCGUCUAAUACUGGAUAUGUGAUGUGACCGCAUGGUCUGCAUCUGGAAAGAAUUUCGGUUGGGGAUGGGCUCGCGGCCUAUCAGCUUGUUGGUGAGGUAAUGGCUCACCAAGGCGUCGACGGGUAGCCGGCCUGAGAGGGUGAACGGCCACACUGGGACUGAGACACGGCCCAGACUCCUACGGGAGGCAGCAGUGGGGAAUAAUGCACAAUGGGCGGAAGCCUGAUGCAGCAACGCCGCGUGAGGGAUGACGGCCUUCGGGUUGUAAACCUCUUUUAGCAGGGAAGAAGCGAAAGUGACGGUACCUGCAGAAAAAGCACCGGCUAACUACGUGCCAGCCGCCGCAGUAA
rnacentral:rRNA from 1 species